rnacentral:rRNA from 1 species
AACGAACGCUGGCGGCGUGCCUAACACAUGCAAGUCGUGCGAGAAAGUUCCUUCGGGAGCGAGUAAAGCGGCGCACGGGUGAGUAACACGUAGGUAACCUGCCCCCCAGUCUGGAACAACUAGAGGAAACUCUAGCUAAUGCCGGAUGAGACCACGAUCCCUUCGGGGGUUGCGGCCAAAGAUGGCCUCUACUUGUAAGCUAUCGCUGAGGGAUGGGCCUGCGGGCCAUUAGCUUGUUGGUGAGGUAACGGCUCACCAAGGCUGUGAUGGCUAGCUGGUCUGAGAGGAUGACCAGCCACACUGGGACUGAGACACGGCCCAGACUCCUACGGGAGGCAGCAGUGGGGAAUAUUGGACAAUGGGCGAAAGCCUGAUCCAGCAAUGCCGCGUGAGUGAAGAAGGCC